rnacentral:rRNA from 1 species
AUGUUACAAAAUUGCUACUACCGGUGCCCCAUCGAGCUACAGCCGCCAUCGUGGUUUGCUGCAUCCCACGACGGAUGUAUGUUUUGCUGGAACCGACACUCGAUUUUGCUGGAGGGGCUGCGAGCGAGAUGUUACAACGGUGAGGUGCUACGAGCGGCGGCGAGCGCGCCGGCGAGCUGCGGCCGUCGCCACUGGAGCUACAACCGUCAUCUUCAGAGCUGCAACCCGCGGGACGCCAAUGCUGCAUGUGUGGAGCCAGUGAUGAGGACGGCCGGCGAGGGCAGUAAUCGUCGACGAGGACAGACGGCGAGGGUAGCCACCGAUGACCCUGUGACUUUGGAGGCCAUUGCAUGCAAGAAGGCUCUUGCACUAGCCAAAGACCUCCAGCUCCAUCAGCUUGUCAUCGCCUUCGACUGCAAGCAAGUCGUUUUGGACAUCAACAACAGAUCCAGAGGUAGCUAUGGAGACAUCAUUAGUGAGAUCAAUCCAUACUCUACUUUGUUUCAAUGUAAUUUUACUUUUGAAAGCCGCGAGGUGCACGUGGAAGCACACGGCACCAACUCAUUGAUUUUGGCUCAUACAAAGGAACUAGGGGGAAAAUUAGUUGAUACAAGAACAAGAGAUUACCUAAUUUACCAGUCCAAGCGAGCAUCCAGCCUUAUAAAUAGAGCAGCAGCCGUGGGGAGCUCUUAUACGGCGCUGCAGGCGCCCGUUGGCGCUCCUGGCGCCUGCAUCGCCCCGCGCUGGGCCGGCCCAUGGAAAAAUAGAAGAAGAAAAAUUUGCAUCUGGUCACAUGUGGUUGGUUGUUCCGAGUGGUUGGUGCGUUGCAACCGUGCAUUGAAGGAUGCAGUCUCCUUGCUGCUCGCAGCCGCCCUUGCUGCUCUUUGGCGCCGGCCCUUGCUGCUCCUCGCCGCCGCACUUGUAGCUCUCUGGUGCCGCCCCUUGCUCCUCCCUACCACCACCCCAUGCUCCUUGUUCCUCCCUACGAGCAACAGCAAUAGCAGCAUGGGCGCUAUGAGUACGACGAAGGCAAGUGCCGGCCACGAGCACGACACACGCGGGGCCCUGCCGGCAAGAGUCAGCAGCAGCUCCAUGACGCGCGUCCCACGGGAGAGGAGCUCGUUGCCUCACUCCCCAUCCCCGAUGGUCCUUGACGGCGACUUCCCCCCGUGGUCCUGGGCAGACGCGUCCACAGGCGUGCGGCCUACCUGCGAUGCCAACCCCGACAACAGGCAGUCUCACGUGACGCCGCGGGUCUCCUCCAUGGGCGGCAAGUCAAGCCGCCUCGCCGUCGCUUCGGAUUUCUGCUCCUCGCCGAUCCGCAUGUCGCGUCCCAGGAAUCGCGCCGAUCUGCCAAAAAAAGAGAAGGGAAGGGAAGAAACUGGGCCGGCCCAAAAUCGCGGCAGGGGGUGCGCACUGCAGGCGCCCGUUAGCAAAAUGCCCUACAACGGGGACCUGCAGCGCCAAAUAGGGUUUACGGCAGCCGUGACCCACCACUUCUGUACCUACCUAUUACUAAUAACGGGAGAUAAUAUUCUUGGUAGACAACACGACGUGGAUCAUGUGGAAGUCCAACUCGCAGAAAACUUGGGACAGCCACUCUUCGCCGUUUAUUUUCGCUGGGUUUUUUUCGUCAUCCUUCUACCUUCGGGUUUUUUUCGUCACCCUCCCACCUCCGUUAACUCGCAAUCCUCCCACCGACGGAAGACACCUCGCAUGAAAAUAACCGGACGACGGCUGAGGCCCCCUCGUACGAAAAAAAACCGGAAGAAACGGAUGAGCCUGGGAACGACGACCCCUCGCACGAAAGAAACCUCACGAUCGAGGCUGCCCUCAUCUAUUCGCUACAACGAUGGGAGCCAUGCCGCCGCCGCCACCGCCACCGCCGCCAACGAUAGAUCCCUGAAACGCCGCGGAUCUAUUCGCUACAUCGAUGGAAACCAGGCGCUAGCCACGGAUCCCUUUGCCGGCGCCGAGGAGUCAUCGAGGAGCCGGCGUCGAGGUCCUCAAGGAGGUGCCGCCGCCAUCGUUGCAGGCCUCCGGGUUGCCAUCGGGACACCGCUGCCGAGAUCCGCCUUCGCCUUCGUCCGGCAGAGGCGGCGGAAGGCAGCCGGGAGGGGAAGCGCACAACGACCCGGAAGACAUCCGCCCUCACACGCUCAUCGUCUUGCUCGAUCUACCCGAGGGCUACCGAUGGGCGCCUCGGCGGCAGCCACGGCGAGAUCUGCGUCUGGGACGUGA